GAGAGAGAGAGAGAGAGAGAAGAGUAGAGAUUACCGUGCAAAGUCAGAGCCAGAUCAUCACAGACAUGAACAAUCGCUCCAUAGCCUGGUGGCUGAAACAGAUAGGACUGCCCCAGUACACCAAGUCACUGGAGAGAGAAUACUAUGGCCUAGAGGGUUUGCUGUAUGUAUCUGAUGUUGAUCUGAAGGACGCUGGAGUAGAUGAUCCCAGUCACAGAGACACCAUACUCUCUCAGCUGCUGCGGCACAGACAGACA